rnacentral:lncRNA from 1 species
GGAGAGGAAACGAUCCCGGGCCAACCGGAAAUCUUUGCGAAGAACCCUGAAGAGCGGCCUGACCCCAGAAGAAGCCAGAGCCCUGGGCUUGGUUGGCACCUCGGAGUUGCAGCUGUGACACUCAUAGGUUACUCCCAGGAGUGUGCUGAGCAGAAGGCAAGCUCUUGCUGGAUGAAACCCCUCCAGGUGGGGUUGGGGAGACUUGAUAUUCACAUCCAACAGUUUGAAAAGGGAGAGCUCAAUUCCCAGCGUCACCCCAUGGCUUGUGUUGCCUGCUACGCAUUGACUUGGAUCUCCAGGAGUCCCCUGCACAUACCUUCUCCAUCGUGUCAGCUGUGUUUCUCUUGAUUCCGUGACACCCGGUUUAUUAGUUCAAAAGUGUGACACCUUUUCUGGGCAAGGAACAGCCCCUUUAAGGAGCAAAUCACUUCUGUCACAGUUAUUAUGGUAAUAUGAGGCAAUCUGAUUAGCUUCACAGACUGAGUCUCCACAACACCAAAAUAUCCAGAUGUAAACCCCAAACUUGUACACAAAAGAAAGCACAGAUUGUUUACCUGUUGUGGAUUUUAGAUGUAACAAAUGUUUAUACAAAUACAUACAUGUACACCAUGUUUCAAAUACUAAAUAAAUAGAGUUUAAUGCCA